GAAAUGCGAUAAGUAAUGUGAAUUUCAGAAUUCAGUGAAUCAUCGAAUCUUUGAACGCACAUUGCGCCCGCCAGUAUUCUGGCGGGCAUGCCUGUUCGAGCGUCAUUACAACCCUCAGGCCCCCGGGCCUGGCGUUGGGGAUCGGCGGAAGCCCCCUGCGGGCACAACGCCGUCCCCCAAAUACAGUGGCGGUCCCGCCGCAGCUUCCAUUGCGUAGUAGCUAACACCUCGCAACUGGAGAGCGGCGCGGCCACGCCGUAAAACACCCAACUUCUGAAUGUUGACCUCGAAUCAGGUAGGAAUACCCGCUGAACUUAAGC
rnacentral:misc_RNA from 1 species